AUCUGUCCUGCUACUCGAUCCUUUUUUUUUUCUAAAUCAAUUGGCUUAAGCCGAGUAGGAAAUGGCUCGGCCUGUACUAUUGGCAACAUAUUAUUCUUUGGUGGCAAUUACCGGGAAAGAUCAAAUGACCUGUCGUCGCAGACCUUGCUAACCAGUAAUUCAAGCAAUCUGUUUUAUACCUCACUGUUACUGCGUAUCACAUCGUGUAGUUUAUCGAUUCCUCGACUAAACGUUUGUUCAAACACCCUAGACUAUUCGUCUAGUCGUCUUCGAAGAAACGAUCUUAUUGGUGGAUCAGAGCCUUCACCACCAUCCUCAUCACAGUCCUCCA
rnacentral:lncRNA from 1 species